UGUCAGGGUCAUGGGAGC
rnacentral:misc_RNA from 1 species